rnacentral:snRNA from 1 species
GUGCUCACUUCAGCAGCCACAUAUAGUAAAAUUGGAAUGAUACAGAGAAGAUUAGCAUGGCCCUGCACGAGAAUGACACGCAAAUUCAUGAAGCAUUCUAUAUUAAA